rnacentral:rRNA from 1 species
UACAGGGGGUGCAAACGUUGCUCGGAAUUAUUGGGCGUAAAGCGCGCGUAGGCGGCCACUUAAGUCGGAUGUGAAAGCCCCGGGCUUAACUUGGGAAUUGCGCUCGAAACUACGUGGCUGGAGUGUGGCAGAGGAAGGUGGAAUUCCACGUGUAGCGGUGAAAUGCGUAGAGAUGUGGAGGAACACCAAUGGCGAAGGCAGCCUUCUGGGCCAACACUGACGCUCAUGCACGAAAGCGUGGGGAGCAAACAGG